AACGAACGCUGGCGGCAGGCUUAACACAUGCAAGUCGAACGCAUCGCAAGAUGAGUGGCAGACGGGUGAGUAACGCGUGGGAAUCUACCCAGUUCUACGGAACAACAGUUGGAAACGACUGCUAAUACCGUAUACGCCCUACGGGGGAAAGAUUUAUCGGAAUUGGAUGAGCCCGCGUAAGAUUAGCUAGUUGGUGGGGUAAUGGCCUACCAAGGCGACGAUCUUUAGCUGGUCUGAGAGGAUGAUCAGCCACACUGGGACUGAGACACGGCCCAGACUCCUACGGGAGGCAGCAGUGGGGAAUAUUGGACAAUGGGCGCAAGCCUGAUCCAGCCAUGCCGCGUGAGUGAUGAAGGCCUUAGGGUUGUAAAGCUCUUUCACCGAUGAAGAUAAUGACGGUAGUCGGAGAAGAAGCCCCGGCUAACUUCGUGCCAGCAGCCGCCGUAA
rnacentral:rRNA from 1 species